AAUAAGGACAUCAAGGAGAUCAAGUAUUCUCUCUGUUUGAUCUCCUAAAUCCUGAAAUACCAGGGAAACAAGUCAUGGCAACAGCUGCCAACUGGUUCUCCCACAGGGCUCUCAGGUUUUGAAGACAGGCAAGAGUGACAACUCCAACCCCCCACCCAAACACAACAAUGAGCCUACCC